CUCCAGCCUUCAGCUCAAGACUCAGCCCAGCCUGUGCAUGAGUCAAGGUCAGAGGCAGCAUUCCAGAACUGGAAACCCCCUGGGUGGCCACGUCAAGGCUCCUGAAGUCACUGGCUUCCACUUCCCCAGGAGGCCUCAGUCUUUACAGAGAGCUGCGCCUGGGACAGCUAGGUCGCCAGCAUAAAAAGGCACGACAGGCUGUUGUUUCCCACCCCACCCUGCUUCCCAGCGCCUAUAAAUGCUGCAGGAUGGCUGACCGUGCACACCACGUUCCACUACCUGUCCACGGACCCCGUGGGAAUUUGGCCCAGGUAGCGUUGCCGUGCGCUGCCGCCUUCGGAUGCUUGGUGGGGAGGAGGCCCUCCAGGAGGGCAGAGCAGCCUGGGGAGGGUGUGGAGCUGGGGUGAGACAGCUUGGUGGGAGCUGGGGUCGCUCGUAGCCGAGGAGUCUGGGCUCAGUCCGGCAGGAAGAGGGAAAUCCAUUCAGGUUUUGGAACAGGCGAGUCUUAUUAUGCAUCAGCUGACCCACCGACCACGUGCAUUUUGAAGCAAGAGCCACAUCACCUCUUAAUUGGACCAAAUCCCACCUUUGACCUAUGUCUGCGGCCUUUCUGGGCAACGCGAACGAGUCACACCAAUGAGAAAACAUUUUUUGAAAGAGCGUAUUUCCCAAGAAACGUUGCACAAUAAUCAUGGGGAAAAUUCAAAACCUGUUGGAG